ncrna:unclassified sequences Mu-gpT-DE RNA
CCCUGACUAAUUGUUCCAUGUGGAACAUUAGACUCUAGCCACGACAGGAGAAUCACAUG